UACGUAGGGUGCGAGCGUUAAUCGGAAUUACUGGGCGUAAAGCGUGCGCAGGCGGUAAGUUAAGUCUGAUGUGAAAGCCCCGGGCUCAACCUGGGAAUGGCAUUGGAAACUGGCUUGCUGGAGUGUGGCAGAGGGGGGUGGAAUUCCGCGUGUAGCAGUGAAAUGCGUAGAGAUGUGGGAGGAACACCGAUGGCGAAGGCAGCCCCCUGGGCUAACACUGACGCUCGAUGCACGAAAGCGUGGGGAGCAAACAGG
rnacentral:rRNA from 1 species